ensembl:snRNA Gm24198 U6 spliceosomal RNA
AUGUUCACUUAGGGAGCACAUAUACUAAUAUUGGACAGAUAUAGAGAAAAGAUUAGUGUGACCCUGCACAAAGAUGACAUGCCAUUUUUUGAAGCCUUCUAAUAUUUU